ensembl:lncRNA
AUCCAACCAGGGUCUCCUGCAUUGCAGGCAGAUUCUUUACCAGCUGAGUCAUUGGGAAGCCCAAUUUUAGGCCUUCACAGUCUAAUUCUCAUUUGUCCAAUCGGGUAGCUGCCGACUGCUAUUACCUUGAACUGCUCGCUGAGUUUAUGCAAAGUAAUUUUAACAGGUAUUUGCCAGUUGCCUGAAGUGGAGACUCAACUGAAGGCUUUAAUAAUCCUUUAUUAGGCAGAUACCCACAUAUCUUUAUGGACAGACAAUGUACAGUUUGGCAUCAUUUAAAAAUGCCACCCAGCCUAUCAACUGAUGCCUAGAGAAUGUGAGCCUGAAAGAUAACAAUGUGUAGGCUGAGGCCACAGAUGUCACGUCAGUCAUCCUUGGCGGUUUUCUUGCACUGACAUUGGGAAGCAGCUUAUGAUCUCAGGAUGGACCGAAAAAUGAUUUUUGUAUUACUACUGUCAGGUUAUACUUCCAGAGAACCUGUUGCAACACAGCGUACAGAGACCACUGUCACUUGGGAUUCACCAGGUUAUACUUCCAGAGAACCUGUUGCAACACAGCGUACAGAGACCACUGUCACUUG